AUUGAACGCUGGCGGCAUGCCUUACACAUGCAAGUCGAACGGCAGCACGGGAGCAAUCCUGGUGGCGAGUGGCGAACGGGCGAGUAAUAUAUCGGAACGUGCCCAGUCGUGGGGGAUAACGUAGCGAAAGCUACGCUAAUACCGCAUACGAUCUAAGAAUGAAAGCGGGGGAUCGCAAGACCUCGCGCGAUUGGAGCGGCCGAUAUCAGAUUAGGUAGUUGGUGGGGUAAAGGCUCAUCAAGCCGACGAUCUGUAGCUGGUCUGAGAGGACGACCAGCCACACUGGGACUGAGACACGGCCCAGACUCCUACGGGAGGCAGCAGUGGGGAAUUUUGGACAAUGGGCGCAAGCCUGAUCCAGCAAUGCCGCGUGCAGGAUGAAGGCCCUCGGGUUGUAAACUGCUUUUGUACGGAACGAAACGGCGAGCUCUAAUACAGUUUGCUAAUGACGGUACCGUAAGAAUAAGCACCGGCUAACUACGUGCCAGCCGCCGCGGUAA
rnacentral:rRNA from 1 species